UACGUAGGGUGCGAGCGUUGUCCGGAAUUAUUGGGCGUAAAGAGCUUGUAGGCGGUCUGUCGCGUCUGCUGUGAAAAUCCGGGGCUCAACCCCGGACUUGCAGUGGGUACGGGCAGACUAGAGUGUGGUAGGGGAGACUGGAAUUCCUGGUGUAGCGGUGAAAUGCGCAGAUAUCAGGAGGAACACCGAUGGCGAAGGCAGGUCUCUGGGCCGACUACUGACGC
rnacentral:rRNA from 1 species